ACAAAAUUUCGUUUGCCUCUAACGCUCGGUCAGUUUCCCACGCGACUACACUAGGUCAAUUUUCUCUCUCAAACCCUAAACACCACGACCACACUUCGUUCGCCUCCUCUUCCUCAUCCUCCUCCUCCUCCGACCGGCACUCGACUGCUCUCUGCCUCAGCCUCCGCCUCCGUUAUCCUCCUCCUCCUCUUCCUUUGGCACACCUGUUCUCUCAUCUCUCUUCUCCAAUUCACCAGAUCUAAUAAAGACGCAGUCCAUGCCGGAGCUCCGCCUUGCCCCUCCUCCUUCUCUUUUCUCCUUCCACCCCGACGAGAACUAGAAAUGGAGGCAGCCAGUGACUUCGGCGCUGGAGUUCGGCGGCGUCAAGAUUGCUAAAGAUGGUAACUUUAUUGGGCUUUGCGAUUUGUGCAUCUCUCAAAAUGGUGUUGGUUCAGUGUGAUUUAUGAAGUGGGCAACCUCUUUUAGAACUUGGGUCGCUGCAGAUGUGUUGAGGGAUGACCCCACAAACAAUGUUCCGGAUACAAUUUUUGCAAAGCUUGGAAUGCAACUGAACAGAAGAGAUCGAUCAGCACCCACUUGGAAUUCUGAAGAAUGCCAUAUACAAAUACUUUGACACCAAUUACUCAAACAAGUUUGAUAAGUUCGAUGAUCUUUGCCCAUUUGUAUCUGUUAAGGAGUUGAUGUAAAAGCCCAUUAAUGCAUACUAGGCCAAAAAAAGUUGGUUGUUCUGUUUUAUUCCAAAUGAAGUAAACUAUGCAGCUGAAUUUGAUAAUAUAAGAUGGAAAUCCAAAUGUUCUGUUCAGGCUAAUUCUUGACGAUGAUCAGGUCUAAACUAUCCUUUGGAAUGUGCUAACACUAAUUAAUUUGUCUGUCAAAGAGUUGUGCCUGAUAUCUUCUCUUCAAUUUGUAGGGAUUGAGAAGGGAGUUCUUUCCAAACAAAAGACAUGAAUGAGCUGUUAGAGUUCCACAAGAAAUUAGAAUCCAUUCUUGAACAUUUGACUGAUGGUUGUUCUUCUUUGUCUUUUGAUGGUCAUGCUGAUAAUUUCUUCUACAUAGUAAUAUCUGUAUAAAAAGUAAAUAAGCAAGAAUGAAAAAAGUUCUUACAUGAAUGCAUGUUAAUAGGAUUUCUAACUGAGAUGUUUUGCAACAUUCAAAAUGCUCUAUCUGUCGAUUCUUGCUCAAUUAAAUUUUAGUGUUAAUGCCUUGGGGCUAUUGUUGUUAUUAUUAUUCUAGUGGAACUGGAAUAAGGUGUUGCCUCUAUGGAUAGGCCCCUUUUAUUUGGCCAGGCCCCUUAUCUCAUGGCUUUGAUAAAACAUAAACCUUAUGGUUCAUAUUUUCUAAUUUCAUUUGUUGUUUCUUAUGUCUUUUAUGAUAACUUGAAUUUUCUGCAUAUUUGGUACAGGUGCAGGGAAAAGAUCGAGUAGUUGUAAGAUGUGUUGCAGAGCAGCUUGGCUUGGAAGGUUCAUACAUACCUCGUACCUACAUUGAAUAAAUUCAACUGGAAAAGCUCGUGAAUGAGGUCAUGGCCUUGCCAGAUGAUUUAAAGACAAGGCUUAGCAUAGAUGAGGAUCUUGUUUUGAGCCCCAGAGACACACUUUCUAAAGUCUCUGCAGCUCUCAUGAGAAAUAAGCAUCUCAAGAGUGGUAUGUCGCAGUCCUAUACAAACCAAAGGGACAAGGAUUUGGAUCGGGCAAGUGAAGGAAAUGAGCUAAAGCAAGAAACUACUUUGCAUGAACUGGAGCCGGUUGCCGUCCAUGCUCUUCAUGAACUUGUUUCUUUAGUUCACAGUCCUGUCAAUGCUGCAGAGCAAUAUGAUUUUGAGUAAGGCAAGAUUUUGCUGACCAUUUUGGAGUAGAUGUAGUGUUAUCAGGAUGAAUUGUGAACUAAUUAUACUUCAUGUAGUUAUUGCAGUAGUGGUAUCUUCUAGACUAGCCUUACAGUAGGUUAGGGUUUAUUGUGCAAAACUUUUGAAGCUACCUCAAGCUCUAAUUUUGGAUAGAAAUUAAUGCAAUUCCCUAAUAUUUGAAUUUCAUGUUA